GGGUGAGCUCAGUUGGUUAGAGCAUGGUGCUGAUAACGCCAACGUUGCAGGUUUGGUCCCGGCAUGGGACA